rnacentral:rRNA from 1 species
ACGUGAUUUUUAUGGAAUAGCCUUCGGGAUAGGAAAUGAAAUGAAAGUGGCGAACGGGUGAGUAACACGUGAGCAACCUACCUUACACAGGGGGAUAGCCGUUGGAAACGACGAUUAAUACCGUAUGAGACCACAGAACCGCAUGGUAAAGGGGUCAAAGAUUUAUCGGUGUAAGAUGGGCUCGCGUCUGAUUAGCUAGUUGGAAGGGUAAAGGCCUACCAAGGCGACGAUCAGUAGCCGGUCUGAGAGGAUGAACGGCCACAUUGGAACUGAGACACGGUCCAAACUCCUACGGGAGGCAGCAGUGGGGAAUAUUGCACAAUGGGGGAAACCCUGAUGCAGCGACGCCGCGUGAGCGAAGAAGGUUUUCGAAUCGUAAAGCUCUGUCCUAUGAGAAGAUAAUGACGGUAUCAUAGGAGGAAGCCCCGGCUAAAUACGUGCCAGCAGCCGCGGUAAUACGUAUGGGGCGAGCGUUGUCCGGAAUUAUUGGGCGUAAAGGGUACGUAGGCGGUCUAUUAAAGUCAGGUGUGAAAGCGUGAGGCUUAACCUCAUUAAGCACUUGAAACUGGUAGACUUGAGUGAAGGAGAGGAAAGUGGAAUUCCUAGUGUACGGUGAAAUGCGUAGAUAUUAGGGGGAAUACCGGUGGCGAAGGCGACUUUCUGGACUUUUACUGACGCUUCAGGUACGAAAGCUGGGG